UAGGGAAUCUUCCGCAAUGGACGCAAGUCUGACGGAGCAACGCCGCGUGAGUGAAGAAGGAUUUCGGUUCGUAAAACUCUGUUGUUAGAGAAGAACAGCGCAUAGAGUAACUGUUAUGCGUGUGACGGUAUCUAACCAGAAAGCCACGGCUAACUACGUGCCAGCAGCCGCGGUAAUACGUAGGUGGCAAGCGUUGUCCGGAUUUAUUGGGCGUAAAGCGAGCGCAGGCGGUCAAUUAAGUCUGAUGUGAAAGCCCCCGGCUCAACCGGGGAGGGUCAUUGGAAACUGGUUGACUUGAGUGCAGAAGAGGAGAGUGGAAUUCCAUGUGUAGCGGUGAAAUGCGUAGAUAUAUGGAGGAACACCAGUGGCGAAGGCGACUCUCUGGUCUGUAACUGACGCUGAGGUUAGAAAGCGUGGGUAGCAAACAGG
rnacentral:rRNA from 1 species